CACAAUUCAUUCAAGCAGUCUCCCAUUGAUGGACCUUUAAGCAUCAUCAGACCUGAUGCCAUGCACCUGCUCAGCUCUGCACCAGGCAAAGAUGCUGAAGGAGGCUGGCCCAUCACCACUUCAGACUUUCUCCCAUCCCUUGAAUCGGCUCACCUCCCAGCAGCCCCCAGUUCUGGAGACUCAGCUUUCAAUCCAUGUGACAGGCAGAAGAGCCAAAUCUACAAGUACAGUAAAAAUAUUAUGAGGCCUUCCAUUGGCAAAAUGCAAAUAUAAAAAUGUAACAACA